CCCCUUUUUUAUUUCAAUUAGUGGUACAUAUAUCUUAAAGAACAUUAGAUCAAUAGAGUGAUAUUUAAGACAGACUUCUUCAUAGUAACAUGCUGUGGUCCUUGAAAUUUGUUUGACUUUUUUGAAGAUAUUUCUGGCUCAUCAUCGCUUUUGCCGUAGUGUCAUAUAGGUAUAUAUUCCAUAUUUGAUUCAUACUCAAAUACACAUGUUCAUUUUACCACAUAUUGCACCAUUACAAAAAUUAUGCCUUUCAGUUCAGUUUUUGAUUUUCUUAAAAAAUAAUUCAGAAAGUUACUUGCUGUAGUAAUUUUUCAGUUUCGUGAAAUACAAGGCCCUGUAGUAAUUGAAAUGUUAGUCAAAACCAGAAACAAACUUGCUUGACCAGUAAAAUG
rnacentral:lncRNA from 1 species